GGUGGGCACUCUAAGGAGACUGCCGGUGACAAACCGGAGGAAGGUGGGGAUGACGUCAAGUCAUCAUGGCCCUUACGGGCUGGGCUACACACGUGAUACAAUGGUCGGUACAAAGGGUUGCCAAGCCGCGAGGGGGAGCUAAUCCCACAAAACCGAUCGUAGUCCGGAUCGCAGUCUGCAACUCGACUGCGUGAAGUCGGAAUCGCUAGUAAUCGCGAAUCAGAAUGUCGCGGUGAAUACGUUCCCGGGCCUUGUACACACCGCCCGUCACACCAUGGGAGCUGGGUUGCACCAGAAGUA
rnacentral:rRNA from 1 species